GAGAAUCAUGGGGAUUCAGUUGUUUGCUUGUCUUAUCGUAAUUUGAUGGCGGCCCUUGUCUCUCUGUACCAAUUUCCGGUAGUAGUUGUAUGGCAUCUCAAGGUCCUUCCUUUGGUGGAUGGAGCCAUGUUUGCUGUUGAAGUUUGGCUUGCCAGUUUGAGACAAUUGUAGCCGUUGAUGUUGGAUCCGUGAUGUGUUGGAUUGGAAUGUUCUUGCCACAAUUAUGCCACAUGCCUGAUGGGUAAUUUGUAUCAUUAUUUCUUCCAUCGUUAUUUUUUACUCUUCUGCUCAACUUAUUCGAUAGACUUGGAGUGACUUCUGUUUUUCUUUUCUUCACUUAAGCGACACCUACAGGGCAAAUGGUUUUGAGUGAGUCCAACUAACAAAUGUCCAACUUAGGUAGCAGGGUUGGUAUGCUUGUCAGUUUAAUGGGCCCCAUCAGGCCUUUAUCGAGCACUGCAAUUUUGCUAAGCAUAAGGGUUACCUCCUAUGCCGGCGCGAGCACCUAGCUGGUCACCGCGCAGCCGUCUGAGCCAUCCUGCGCCGUUGGAUGCCUCCCCCGAAUCGUCUCCUUAUAGCUUGGCCAACACAUUGCUACACUGCUGUCGUGUGCUUGCCGUCAGUCCUCGUUGUCGGCCUGCUCGUUCGCUUGUAGCUGAGGCCGUCGGGUGACACUUGCAACAGCCAUUGCAUGGAGCUCGUUGUGCCUCCACCCCCUUGGCUGCCGCAUCGCCAGGUGGGUUUCCAGCAUCGCCACCAGUCGUCGUCAUAGUAUGCCGCGCGCCCGUCGCAGUACCCAUUGUUUUGCCACGCAAUUCCCGUUGUCGCCGCUCACCAUCGUUAGCUUGCUGUCUUCGGUUGAAACUUUUUCAGAAGCUGGUUCAAGCUUUCUUGGCCGCUGGUUGCAACUUUUUGUGGUUGCCUCGUCUAAGGUUGAAACUUUCUCCAGUUGAAACUUUUUCAAAAGCAGGUUGUAGCUUUCUUACCCGCUGGUCGUAGCAUUUUAAAAUCCUAGUUGCAGCUCCUCCACGCGACGAUCACAACCCCUACUUUCUCUGGUCCCUGCAAAAAAUAACGACGCCGAUCAUAGCAUUUGGUGCUGCUAGUUGCAGCUCCAAUGCAUGCUGAUCGCAACCCCUGCUCUCUCUAUUUCCAGCAAAAAAUGGCGCCGUAACAAUUGGUGGCUUGGCGCACCGGUUGCAGGUCCCCUAUCAAGUUCGCUGGGAUACGGUGCCCACACUUGUAGCGGACGGUCCCAACAUCCGCGGUAGCCGAUUCCAGCAUCGGUAGCACGUGGGGUCACCCAUGGUCUUGAUAAGGACAUGAAAACCAUUCAACCCUUAGAGUCGAGGGUGACUCCUUUUCAAGAGGGGGAUGAUGAUGAGGACAUCCCAGCUAUGGAUACCACACCAACAAUCAUCAACGGUCCAAUCACAAGAAGUCGUGCAAUGCAAGUACAUGAUCAGGUGAACGCUAACUUAAGUUUAUCUUUUGACCUUGAAAACAUGGUUGUGCCUUCACCUCCUUUGUUGUUGGUUGAACACAGGUGAAAUAUCGAAGAAGGCCAAACACAUAUCAGUCCAUGCAAAACAAUGUUUUAUGGCGAAGAAACAAAGUUAGGAGUUCAUGAAGAAAUGAGUUUUCUGCUUAAGAAACAUUGUUCCGAUUCUUACGAAACAAUGUUUUGCACGGGUUUGGAUAUCCCAACUUGCGAAAGGUUUCCAGAACCCGACUAUGCUGUUGAAGGAAACAUUGUUCGACUCCAGUGAACAAUGUUUGGUUGGGAACUGCCAACCACCUCCAACGGGAGUUUUCCAGAAGCUACCUCAUUAAGUCUCAAAGCCAUUUUAGUCAAACCAAAGCUGGUUCUCUUUCACACCUAAGCUGGUUCCCUAAGCUAGUUUGUUUCCACACCUAUCCAGGGGGGUUGUCCCGAUUAUAAAUAGGCUAGCUCUUCCCUUCGUUGGGGACUUUUGCCAUUUCUAUCAAAGACCAAAGACAUAGACUCCUCCUGAGAUUGGAGAGCUCUUGUUAUCCUUAUUCUCGUGAUUCCUUGAGAAAUUGCUCCUAGUUCGUGCUCCACGACUAGAUCGUGUUGUGUGGAUUAGAGUUCAUGGUUUCCCUUGCGGAUUGCACCUAUCCCGUGCUCCACGACUUGAGUGUGGUUGUGUGGGAUAGUAUUGCGGGUUGUGGAUCGGCGAAUGUUCGGAUUGCGAACUUCGGUGAGCCUCCUCCUCGUCGGGUCAUAAUCUCUUAUUUUCUAUUUUUUGGCUGCUUGCAGCUAGUUAUCCCCAUCCAUUUAUCGGUCCUACGCCGUGAAAAU
rnacentral:lncRNA from 1 species